rnacentral:rRNA from 1 species
UACGGAGGGGGCUAGCGUUGUUCGGAAUUACUGGGCGUAAAGCGCACGUAGGCGGCCUUGUAAGUUAGAGGUGAAAGCCCAGGGCUCAACCCUGGAAUUGCCUUUAAGACUGCAUCGCUUGAACACGGGAGAGGUGAGUGGAAUUCCGAGUGUAGAGGUGAAAUUCGUAGAUAUUGGGAAGAACACCGGUGGCGAAGGCGGCUCACUGGCCCGGUACUGACGCUGAGGUGCGAAAGCGUGGGGAGCAAACAGG